AACGAACGCUGGCGGCAUGCCUAACACAUGCAAGUCGAACGAGAACGGCGGGUCUAGUGGCGCACGGGUGCGUAACGCGUGGGAAUCUGCCCUUUGGUUCGGAAUAACAGUUGGAAACGACUGCUAAUACCGGAUGAUGACGAAAGUCCAAAGAUUUAUCGCCAGAGGAUGAGCCCGCGUAGGAUGAGCUAGUUGGUGUGGUAAAGGCGCACCAAGGCGACGAUCCUUAGCUGGUCUGAGAGGAUGAUCAGCCACACUGGGACUGAGACACGGCCCAGACUCCUACGGGAGGCAGCAGUGGGGAAUAUUGGACAAUGGGCGAAAGCCUGAUCCAGCAAUGCCGCGUGAGUGAUGAAGGCCUUAGGGUUGUAAAGCUCUUUUACCCGGGAUGAUAAUGACAGUACCGGGAGAAUAAGCUCCGGCUAACUCCGUGCCAGCAGCCGCAGUAA
rnacentral:rRNA from 1 species